rnacentral:sRNA from 1 species
CGAGAAAGCGUUGCCGUAGGCAACGACCCGAAGGGCGAAGCGCGCAGCGCUGAGUAAUCCUUCCCCCGUCAUCC